rnacentral:rRNA from 1 species
ACGAACGCUGGCGGCGUGCUUAACACAUGCCAGUCGAACGGAAAGGCCCCUUUGGGGGUACUCGAGUGGCGAACGGGUGAGUAACACGUGAGUAACCUGCCCUUGACUUCGGGAUAACUUCAGGAAACUGGGGCUAAUACCGGAUAGGAAUCCUUGCUGCAUGGUGGGGGUUGGAAAGCUUCGGCGGUUUUGGAUGGACUCGCGGCUUAUCAGCUUGUUGGUGGGGUAGUGGCUUACCAAGGCUUUGACGGGUAGCCGGCCUGAGAGGGCGACCGGCCACAUUGGGACUGAGAUACGGCCCAGACUCCUACGGGAGGCAGCAGUGGGGAAUAUUGCACAAUGGGCGGAAGCCUGAUGCAGCAACGCCGCGUGCGGGAUGACGGCCUUCGGGUUGGAAACCGCUUUCAGCAGGGGCGAAGCUUGUGGUGACGGUACCUGCAGAAGAAGCACCGGCUAACUACGUG